rfam:Oryza rufipogon genomic scaffold, chr05
AGAAAAACAAACCAUGGGUUUCCGUGUACAACUUUGACUGUCCGUCUUAUAUAAAAUUUUUUUAUAAUUUAUAUUUUCAUUGUUGUUAGAUGAUAAAACAUGAUUAACAUUUUAUGUGUGACUUUUCUUUUUAUUUUUUUUAAAUAAAAUGGACGGUCAAACAUUAGACCAGGGUUUGUCUUUUU